rnacentral:misc_RNA from 1 species
UUAGUUUAUUUAACUAUUAUUCAGAUUUAACAUGGUUAAAAAGAGUUUGUUAAGGCUACUGACGAGCACUGGCCAAAGGUCAAAAGACCCCCGGCGGUCCGGUGAAAGACGGGCCCGCCAAAGCAACAUGGUAGUUACACAAAGGGUUGGAGAUCGGGCCUGGAAGACCCUAACUCGUUAAUGAUCCUUCCGCAGGUUCACCUACGGAAA